rnacentral:rRNA from 1 species
GACGAACGCUGGCGGCGUGCUUAACACAUGCAAGUCGAACGGAAAGGCCCUGCUUUUGUGGGGUGCUCGAGUGGCGAACGGGUGAGUAACACGUGAGUAACCUGCCCUUGACUUUGGGAUAACUUCAGGAAACUGGGGCUAAUACCGGAUAGGAGCUCCUGCUGCAUGGUGGGGGUUGGAAAGUUUCGGCGGUUGGGGAUGGACUCGCGGCUUAUCAGCUUGUUGGUGGGGUAGUGGCUUACCAAGGCUUUGACGGGUAGCCGGCCUGAGAGGGUGACCGGCCACAUUGGGACUGAGAUACGGCCCAGAAUCCUACGGGAGGCAGCAGUGGGGAAUAUUGAACAAUGGGCGGAAGCCUGAUGCAGCAACGCCGCGUGCGGGAUGACGGCCUUCGGGUUGUAAACCGCUUUCGCCUGUGACGAAGCGGGAGUGACGGUAAUGGGUAAAGAAGCACCGGCUAACUACGUG